AAUAUUGGUCAAUGGUGGUAAUCCUGUCCCAGCCAUGCCUCGAGUGUGAAGAAUGUCCUCGGUUUGUAAAUCACUUUACUUAGGGAGGAAUGGCCAUAGGAUAAUACCCGCAAGUCUUGUCUAUACCACCAGAUUAAGUAUUGACGAACACUGUGCGUGCAGCCGCGGUAAUGCAGAGGGUGCAAGCGUUAACCGGAAUUACCGGGCGUACAGCGCGCGUAGGUGGUUUGUUAAGUUGGAAGUGAAAGCCCCGGGCUCAACCUGGGAACUGCUUUCAAAACUGGCAAGCUAGAGUAUGGCAGAGGGUGGUGGAAUUUCCUGUGUAGCGGUGAAAUGCGUAGAUAUAGGAAGGAACACCAGUGGCGAAGGCGACUACCUGGACUGAUACUGACACUGAGGUGCGAAAGCGUGGGGAGCAAAC
rnacentral:rRNA from 1 species